rnacentral:SRP_RNA from 1 species
UGCCAGGACUUACACAAUGGUUGACUUGAGAACGGGUCAGGACCUAACGGUAGCAGCCAUAUCUGGAUCGCCAUGUGUUGUAAGUAUCCUGGCAUUU